rnacentral:tRNA from 1 species
UCCGUGGUGGCUCAGACGGUAAAGCGUCUGCCUGCAACGCGGGAGACCCAGGUUCGAUCCCUGGGUACGGAA